rnacentral:lncRNA from 1 species
GUCCUUAUUAUCUGAAAAGGUUUCAUGAAAUUCUGUUGUGUGGUUUGAGAGGAGUUGCGAUGACAAACUGUUGCAGAAGUACAUUGAAACAAAUAAGUUCAAAGGGGCGCAACUCCUAGAAAAAAAUUGAAUCUUAAUUUCCUGUCGAUAUGCACAUCUAUGUAGUAUGUCCUUAUUAUCUGAAAAGGUUUCAUGAAAUUCUGUUGUGUGGUUUGAGAGGAGUUGCGAUGACAAACUGUUGCAGAAGUACAUUAAAGUAAAUAAGUUCAAAGGGGCGUAACUCCUAGAAAAAAAAUUGAAUCUUAAUUUCCUGUCGAUAUGCACAACUACAUAGUAUGUCCUUAUUAUCUGAAAAGGUUUCGUGAAAUUCUGUUGUGUGGUUUGAGAGGAGUUGCGAUGACAAACUGUUGCAGUAGUACAUUAAAGUAAAUAAAUUCAAAGGGGCGUAACUCCUAGAAAAAAAAAUUGAAUCGAAAUUUCCCGUCGAUAUGCACAACUACAUAGUAUGUCCUUAUUAUCUGAAAAGGUUUCGUGAAAUUCUGUUGUGUGGUUUGAGAGGAGUUGCGAUGACAAGAAACAGGACUGACGGACGGACGGACUGACGAACGGACGGACGGACGGGUCAAAAACAUUAUACCCUCCGCAACCCGUUGCGUGGGGUAUAAUUAUU